rnacentral:rRNA from 1 species
GGAACUGAAACAUCUAAGUACCUGAAGGAAGAGAAAGAAAUUCGAUUCCGUAAGUAGCGGCGAGCGAACGCGGAUUAGCCCAAACCAAUAAAGUUUUCUUUAUUGGGGUUGCGGACAUAUCAUAACGCAGAGGUAUCGUAAUUGAAGAGGUUUGGAAAGACCCACCACAGAAGGUAAUAGUCCUGUAUGUUAAACGAGAAGACUUCAGAUAUGAUCC